GUACGUAGGGUGCAAGCGUUAAUCGGAAUUACUGGGCGUAAAGCGUGCGCAGGCGGUUUUGUAAGACAGUGGUGAAAUCCCCGGGCUCAACCUGGGAACUGCCAUUGUGACUGCAAGGCUGGAGUGCGGCCGAGGGGGAUGGAAUUCCGCGUGUAGCAGUGGAAUGCGUAGAUAUGCGGAGGAACACCGAUGGCGAAGGCAAUCCCCUGGGCCUGCACUGACGCUCAUGCACGAAAGCGUGGGGAGCAAACAGGAUUAGAUACCCUGGUAGUCCACGCCCUAAACGAUGUCAACUGGUUGUUGGGGAUUUAUUUUCUCAGUAACGAAGCUAACGCGUGAAGUUGACCGCCUGGGGAGUACGGCCGCAAGGUUAAAACUCAAAGGAAUCGACGGGG
rnacentral:rRNA from 1 species